UACGUAGGGGGCAAGCGUUGUUCGGAAUUACUGGGCGUAAAGGGUCUGUAGGUGGCCAACUAAGUCAGACGUGAAAUCCCUCAGCUUAACUGGGGAACUGCGUCUGAUACUGGAUGGCUUGAGUUUGGGAGAGGGAUGCGGAAUUCCAGGUGUAGCGGUGAAAUGCGUAGAGAUCUGGAAGAACACCGAAGGCGAAGGCAGCGUUCUGGGAAGCAACUGACGCUCAUGUGCGAAAGCCAGGGGAGCGAACGGG
rnacentral:rRNA from 1 species